rnacentral:misc_RNA from 1 species
GAUGAAGAACGUAGCGAAAUGCGAUACGUAAUGUGAAUUGCAGAAUUCAGUGAAUCAUCGAGUCUUUGAACGCACAUUGCGCCCCCUGGUAUUCCGGGGGGCAUGCCUGUCCGAGCGUCAUUGCUGCCCUCAAGCACGGCUUGUGUGUUGGGCCUCCGUCCUCCUCCCGGGGGACGGGCCCGAAAGGCAGCGGCGGCACCGCGUCCGGUCCUCGAGCGUAUGGGGCUUCGUCACCCGCUCUUGUAGGCCCGGCCGGCGCUUGCCGACACAUCAAUCUUUUUUCCAGGUUGAUCUCAAAUCAGGUAGGACUACCCGCUGAACUUAAGCAUAUCAAUAAGCGGAGGA